CAGCCGCCGCGGGAAUACCGAGGAUGCAAGCGUUAUCCGGAUUGAUUGGGCGUAAAGCAUCUGUAGGUGGCUUUUCAAGUCCAUCGUCAAAUCCCAGGGCUCAACCCUGGACAGGCAGUGGAAACUACCAAGCUGGAGUACGGUAGGGGCAGAGGGAAUUUCCGGUGUAGCGGUGAAAUGCGUAGAUAUCGGAAGGAACACCUGUGGCGAAAGCGGCUCACUGGACAAUAACUGACGCUGAUGCACGAAAGCUAGGGGAGCAAACAGGAUUAGAUACCCCAGUAGUCCCUGUCUCUUAUAC
rnacentral:rRNA from 1 species